CAGUCGCCGCGGGAACACGGAGGGCGCGAGCGUUACCCGGAUUUACUGGGCGCAAAGGGCGUGUAGGCGGCCUGGGGCGUCCCAUGUGAAAGGCCACGGCUCAACCGUGGAGGAGCGUGGGAUACGCUCAGGCUAGAGGGUGGGAGAGGGUGGUGGAAUUCCCGGAGUAGCGGUGAAAUGCGCAGAUACCGGGAGGAACGCCGAUGGCGAAGGCAGCCACCUGGUCCACUUCUGACGCUGAGGCGCGAAAGCGUGGGGAGCAAACCGGAUUAGAUACCCCCGUAGUCCCUGUCUCUUAUAC
rnacentral:rRNA from 1 species